UAUUGUGAAUAUUGUAUUUACAUUUUAAAUUACACACACAUUAACAACAUCAGCCAUAUUUUGUUAAUAUAACCUCUCUGUUCUAAGGAUUUCUAUGUCAGUCUCUCUCCACAUCAGACAUGUUGGUGUUAUAUAGACUUAUCAUGGCUGACUGUUAGUGGAGCUGAUAGUGUGUUGUCCCUCUCUUUUCAUUGUGAGGGAAAACACAUCAAGUCUGAGUGAGGCUGGAGUGAGCAUCACCCAUCUCUCUUCCUCUCUCUGUCUCUCACUCACACCCAUGCACACACUCACUAAACACCACCCAUCCACAGAGGAAGACUGAGAGGGAACUGCUGGUUCCCACUGACUCACCACCAACACUAUUCCAUCAACAUGAAGCCAUUGUCACACCAUAGCAGCAGUGACACAGACAACCAUUAACAACAGAACAUUGGGACCAAGUCACAGUUUAUACAACAAAGGAUUUUACACAAUGAAGAUUAAUAAUGUGAAAAUACCAUGUUCUUGGACACUGUUUUAACAUCAAGACUAAAGAUGCAGUUAUUUCUUUGUGUUUUACUGACUUUCUUCCAUUGUUAUGCAAGUGAAGAUAUCACAUACCAUGUUAAAGAAGAGAAUAUUCCUCAUACCUAUGUAGGGGACAUUGCUAUUGACUUACAGAAAUCAGACAGCUCCUUCUUAAAGAAUAAGGAUUUAAUUACAUUUAGUCAACUGCAACAAAAGGGAGAACAGUUGUUCAAUGUGACGAGAACAGGUAAACUGUACACUGUUGAGACAUUGGAUGCUGAGUCUGUGUGUAGUUAUGAGAAAGAAUGUUUUGAAAUCGUUAAAGUUGCAGUUCACAAAUCCAAGACAUUUAUGAAGAUCUUAAAGAUUAAAGUUAUCAUAGAAGACAUCAAUGACCACCAACCUGAGUUUCCAACUGAAGAAGUCAACAUUCAGUUUUCAGAGAGAGAUGGUAAAGGAGCAAAACUAUCAAUACCCAAUGCUGUUGAUAAAGAUAUGGGUCAUAAGAACAGCUUGGUAACAUAUGAAUUAAGAAAUGAUGACAGUUACUUUUCAUUAUUAAUUGCCAAACAAGCUCAUGAAAUAUCAACAUUAGGAAUUAUUUUAGAAGAGAAAUUAGACAGAGAGAAGAAAGACAAUUAUGAUAUUGAAGUCAUUGCUAAAGAUGGAGGAACUCCACCAAAAAAAUCCAUUUUAAAUGUUAAAAUAUCUGUAAAAGAUGAAAAUGAUAAUCCACCACAAUUUUCCCAAAGUAUCUACAAUGUCUCUAUAGAACAUAAACAUAAAAAGAAUAUUCCAGUUGUCACAGUAUCUGCCAGUGAUUUAGACAUUGGCAGGAAUGGUAAAAUAUCUUAUUAUUUCAGUAGAAAGACUGCAGAAAAAAUGAAGAGAAACUUUAAUUUAGAUGAAAGUACUGGGAAAUUGUAUUUAGCUACAUCUUCAAAAAUCGAUAAGGAUGAGUCUUUUAAAUUAUACAUCGAAGCCAGAGAUGAUGGCAGUCCUCCUCUUAGUUCCAUAGCAAUGAUUCAGAUAAAUGUUAUUAAUGAACACAACAAUCCCCCAAAUAUUGAUGUGAACUUUAUUUCUACACAGAAUCACAACACAGCUACCAUUCUGGAAGACAUCAAAGUUGGUAGUUUCAUUGCUUAUGUGAUGGUCACUGACAAUGAUGUUGGACACAAUGGAGAGGUGAACUGUCAUAUCAAAGACGACACAUUCAAACUACAGUCAAUGGGAUCGAAGGAAUAUAAAAUAGUUCUAAAGAAAGCAGUAGACAGAGAGACACAGGAACAUUAUCACUUUACUGUGUCGUGUGAAGAUAAAGGAUUACCUGCUCUGAAAACUGAUAAAGAUCUGUCAAUCCAAGUGUUGGAUGUGAAUGAUGUAGAACCACACUUUACGAAAGACACAUUCAAGUUCCUUACCUAUGAGAAUGACAAAGCUAAUUUCCCUAUUGGCUUUAUCAAUGCUACAGACCCAGAUAUUGGUAAGGGAGGUGAAUUGUCUUAUUCUCUGAGAAAUAAACAGCAAUAUCGUCUGCCAUUCCAGAUUAUCAACUCUGGCUUUAUUUCAACAAACCAGUCUUUAGACAGAGAACACAGAGAUUUCUAUGAGUUUGAGGUUUUUGUGAAAGACAAUGGAAGCCCAUCUCUGAAUAACACAGUGAAUGUUGAAGUGGAAGUAUUGGAUAGAAAUGAUAAUGCUCCAUAUUUUACAUUUCCUAGUGUUGACCCUUUCACUCUUAAUGUCCACUAUCAUCCGCAAAGUAAGAACGACAUCACAGUUCUGAAAGCAUCUGAUAUAGACAGUCACAUGAAUGCUUUUCUCAGGUAUGAAAUCGUUUCAGGUAACGAGAGACAGUUAUUCAAACUGGACUCGUUCACUGGUGUGUUAUCUUACUCUCGCACAGUUUACCAAAAUGAUGCCGGAUCAUAUGAGCUUGAGUUUGUUGUGAAAGACAGUGGUACUCCAGUUCUGUCAGCAACAACUAGUGUGUCUUUGACACUGACUGUUAGUAACAAGACGUCACCAAUGUUCACAGCUGUGCACCUACCAAGUGAUAACACAAUAGAUGCGACAUUGUUGAUUAUCAUUGUAGUAGCAGCUGUGAUAGUAUCUAUAGCUAUUGUGGUUUCUAUAACCCUGUGUAUUGUGAGAUGUAACAAUGUGAGAAAUAGCUCAUCUGAAAGAACAGCAGAAGAGAAACAGGCAUACCAAUGUCGCAAUGAGAUGAGACAGUUGAUCUAUCAAGGUAACAACAGUGUACCUGUGAUGUCGGGUAAUCGAGGAGAGAUGUCAGACAGAUAUGGUCAUUCAAGGAGCCAUUACUAUCCUGAAGACUGGAAGACAUCGACAAUGAGCAGAAGUUUACCAAAAAGUAUGAAGCAGAAAUACAGUCAACCAAUUGAGGUGACAUCUUAUGGAGACAACAGACCAUCUUCUCACUAUCCCACCGACACAUUGACCAGUCGUAAGAGCAGUGGACAGUGCUGGAGUGAGCGGUCAAGCAGACAGUAUGAAGAAAUACCAGCAAUGUCAGGAAUCUAUGGUGGUGCCCCACCCGAUGUGUCAAGCACCAGUGAGAGAGACCAUUACCAAGACAGAUAUGUGAAACCUCCAGAGAGACAGUUACCUUCAACACCAGAUGUUGUUGUCAGUUAAGUGAGGCUGAGAAAGGAACACAACAGAAAUAAUAUCACCUUCAACAUUCACACAUUUAAAAACAACAAAAACAAAUUAGUUAAUAAUACUGCCUACAUAUGACUGGAUAUCCUCAUGUGUUUCAGAAAAUGUAUUCUGUAUUCAACUUGGCAAGGUUAUCACAUGUGUAAAGCAAAAUAACAUCUUUAGAUAAUAAUAAUCUGUUUUAAGCUUUGUGAACAAAAGAUAAAGCAAGUUUUAUAUAGAAGUAUAAGUAAAGAUUUCUCCUAUAGAAAUACAAUUUAAGAUUGAAAAUGUCCAUAUUAUAAAUAAAUCAUAUACUUAUUGUUAAUAUAUGAGUAAAUAUAUUUCACAUAAUUUACAUAUUAACUUUAAAAUUUCCAAAUAUAUUUUGUGUUGGAAAGUUAAUUUGGAAUUAGGUCAAACACCCUGAAACUGUUAUUGUCAAUAUUGUAUUUACAUUUUAAAUUACACACACAUUAACAACAUCAGCCAUAUUUUGUUAAUAUAACCUCUCUGUUCUAAGGAUUUCUAUGUCAGUCUCUCUCCACAUCAGACAUGUUGGUAUUAUAUAGACUUAUCAUGGCUGACUGUUAGUGGAGCUGAUUGUAUGUAGUCUCUCUCUCUCUUUCUGUCUUUUCUUUUUCAGGGAAACACAACAUCUAGUCUGAGUGAGGCUGGAGUAAGCAUCACCCAUCCUCCUCUCUCCCUUUCUCUCUCAUACACAAAUAUUCAACCACACUCACACACACACUCACUAAACACCACACAUCCACAGAGGAAGACUGAGAGGGAACUGCUGGUUCCCACUGACUCACCACCAACACUAUUCCAUCAACAUGAAGCCAUUGUCACACCAUAGCAGCAGUGACACAGA